UACGUAGGGUGCAAGCGUUGUUCGGAAUCAUUGGGCGUAAAGCGCGUGUAGGUGGCUAGUUAAGUCGGGUGUGAAAUCCCUGGGCUCAACCGAGGAAGUGCACUCGAUACUGGCUGGCUAGAAGAUGGUAGAGGAAGGUGGAAUUCCAAGUGUAGAGGUGAAAUUCGUAGAUAUUUGGAGGAAUACCGGCGGCGAAGGCGGCCUUCUGGGCCAUUCUUGACACUGAGACGCGAAAGCGUGGGGAGCAAACAGG
rnacentral:rRNA from 1 species